rnacentral:lncRNA from 1 species
CCAAUGAGGAGCCGCGGGCGCUGCUGUGAGGCCCACAGAAAGACCCGAGGCGGCACUGGCCUUGAAAAAGUGGGGACCAGUUCCGGCCCCCAUCGUGGUGCCCCUCAUCCAGCCCUACCCACCCUCAAGCGUUUUUUGGCGGACAUGAUGGUGGAGCUAGGGGGAACCGGCCUCAGCUGGAAGGGGCGGGUGGAAGGCGCGGGGACUCUGGACAACGCCCCCGGGGGGCGGCAGAUUCGGGAUGGGAGUGGGGGCGAGAAUGGAGAGCUGCCGUGCGGGGCCCCGCAACGGCGGGAGGAGUGGGUGCCCAAGGCCGAGGAGAGAAAGAACAGCCGGUCGGGAGGGGGGAGAGGCGGAGCUGUUCAGGAGCGAGCGGAAAUGGUGCGGGGAGUCAGCCUCUGGGGCCGCCCGGGGAGCUGGGAUGCGGCGCGGGCCACGUGCGCCCGGGAGUACUUAGCGUGGCAGGCGGCCCGCGGGCGGUGGUGGAGACCCUCUGUGGGCAGGGCCUUGUGCUGGGACGACCAUCCCUCAGUCGCAGGGGCGCCCGGUGGCUUUCAGCUUUGAAUUCAGAGACUAUUGACGCCCCAGGCGGGGCCGGCGUCUCCAGACCAGGCCACGGGGCUGCAGAGAGAAGAACACGCCUGCUUUUGCCGCGGAUCGCGAGCGCUCGGGCGCAAAGACCCAGAGUGAGGUGGGGGCAUUAGGACACCUCCAUUCCUGACCUCCUGGAGCACUGACUGCCUUUUGUGGGGGAUUGAAAAAGACUUCUGGGAAGAGCUGGUGCUGAGUCCUCUGUGUGAAGAGGAGGAAAAGAGUUGAUGAGUAUGAAUUGGAGGACCCAUCCAGAAAUAAAGGAUCUGCAAACAAUCAAACUACUAAAAAAUCAAACACAAAACAGAGGAACAGAGAUCCCUGGAGAGAUGCCCUUUCAACCCUCCAUCUCUGCUAAAUGCCUUUUGGAUCCCAGCAGUGGAGCCCAUUGGUUGGUUGGAUAGUCAGAGCAGACUAUUACUGACGCCUAUUAAGGCUGACUGAAAGAAUUCUAGCCAAAUCUUACAGGUUAGAAGAGAAAUGACAGCUCCUCCCAAAGAGAGAUGGUGCCUGGAGCAUACACACAGAGAGACACUGGGAAAAUACCCUUGUGCUGGAGCGACAGGGUGAAAACAUCUGUGUUCCUGAGCUGCUUAAGAAGAUGAAGUUAACAGGGAGAAGGGAUGGGGCGGGGGAGGUGGGAGGAGCAGGGAAUGGUGCUGUCGAUGGGCGUACAUGUUUAGAGCAGAUGGAAAAUGUACCCAUCCAUAACUGGAGAUGUAAGCCAAUUGUAAUUAAGUUUACAACGGAGGCAGAGGGAGAGGAGAGGUACAAAGGAGACUCAAUGAUGGAGAAUUCCAGUGAAAAACCUGGAGAUUAGCUAAAGGAGGAGAAACAUCUUAAAACACCAAAGUGGGAUUUACUCCUGAGAGCUAGAGGAGAAGGAUAUUCAGAGUAGUCCAUGAUUCUAACGAAUUCACUAUCCGCCUGCCAGGGGGUGAGGGUCACAGUCUCAGUUGGUUGGUCAUCCUUCUUACCCCCAGGUUUGCUUCUAAGCCGAACAGCAUGCCUUUCUCCCCGCCUACCUGCCUCAAAACCUGUCAAGCUACUUUUUUCCCCUUUUGCUUCUAAAAUGCUGCUUCCUAGAAGAUGCCUGCUGGGUUGCUUGAGCUGGAGAUUCCGACCUUGGCUUGUUUUAACCUGGACUUCCAACAGUUUCUCCUUUCCCAAUACCCUCAAGCUUUGCCCCAGGUACCCAUGUCUUAGUGCCAAAAGUCAUUUCUUUUUUUAUCCUUGGCUGAUGGUGUGUCAGCUGGUAAACUCUCCUUGCCCUUUAGAACUCUCCAAAUUAUCUCCAGGCAUCUGAAUCCUUGGGGGAUUUGCAGAUCAUAUAUAUGGAUGACACCAUGCUAAGAGGAAUAGCUACUGUGAUUGAUGAGAGGAUCAAGCUUUAAAAUGAAUCCCAUAAGCUGAAAGAUGGUCUAAAAUCAAUACUGUCAGAUGUGCCAGGAAUAAAUGUGAAACACUGCAUUUGGGUCCAAUAAUCAAUUGUACAAGUAUACAAUGGAAAGACUUACAGAACAACAGUUUAUGAAAAAACAAAACAAAACAUUUUUUGGUGACAACUGGUUCAAUAAGACAAGAAUGAACCUGUGUUCUUAACAAGGGAAAGGUAGGACUGAACAAAUCUUUUUUAUUGUUUUUGAGUAUAAUUGUCAGCUGAUCAAGCACAGAGUUCCAGUAGGCUGUGCAGAACAAUCUUGUUUUAUUCGUUUCUGUUUUAAUUUAAUUUCAGUUUCAAAUGCCCUAUUGCAAUCUAUUCAGGGUCCACCUUGGCAAUCAUCAGUGGCUCCCGUAGCCUGUUCACCUGAUUCCAGUAGCCUCUGUGUUUUGAAUCUCACACAAGCCCACUUGGCUGCCGUGCUGCUGGCCUGUUGGAGAGUCCCCCACUUCCCAAGGAGAGAUGCUUCUUUCCAAACAGGCCAGUCUUCUCACUGUUCCUCAUACGCCCCACGGUCGUUGGUUCAUUUGUUCAUUUCUUCACAGAUCCGUUGACCAUCCACUAUGUGGCAGGCACUAUUCCAGGCACUGGGGCUUCAGUGGUGAGCAAGAUAGGGUCCUUGCCCUCAUCAAGCUUAGGCUCUCAUGGGGGUAGGCAGACCCUAAAGAAACACUUGAAAAAUGUCAGAUAAUAAAAAGGUAUGAAAAGCUAUUAGGUAGUUGAAAAGCCUUCCGGCUUCUGCUUAGACUUCUCAGAAUGUUACCUCCUGCUUCCUAAACCGGCUCAAAUUCCACCUUCCCCUCAGAGGCAGAGAACUCCUCCAAGCUCUCUCUGCCCUGGGGUUUGUGACACAUAAUUUAGCACUCAACUGCUCUCUAAGUGUUUCCCCCAAUGCUAAUUUUGCCUCCCAGCAGGCUACAGGAGCUGGCAAACUCUUUGAAGUUAUAGGAUGUGCCUUCAAUUUAAACAUAUUCAGUCAAUCUCUCCCUAGAAUGCUCUUUAAAAGGAAAUGAAAAGCAUAGUUGAAACAUGACUUGAAGUUUUUAAGCUGAUUCCCAGAUAACAAGAGAACUUCUUCCAGUGCCUCCGAAAUCCUCUAGAAAAAGAAUGCAAAGUUAGGACAAUAGUUUGUUUAUUUGUUGAACUUAACCUCCUCCAAAGAGUCCUAGACUCUGUAAGGAGAUCUUUAAAGCAACAAACAUACCUUAACCGCGUAGCAGCAAGAUUAGAGCGAACAGCAGCAGGGAAACAUCCAACAAGCUCAGAGGGAGGAAAGGAAAGGGCAGACAAUGGCAAAUCCAGAAAAAUGAUCAGCCCCAAAUUGAGCCCAAAUGACAUUCUUUUGGGCCCCUCACACUCUGUACAAUAAAAGCGGGCCAAGAAAAGCCAGAAACAAUCCUAAUGGCCAUCAACAGAGGACUGGUCAAAGAAAUGACAGCUUCAUAUGGUCGACUGGCACGCGGAAAGAGUAAGGUAGGUACAGCUAUACACACUGACGGAGACAGAUGGCCACCGCGUGGUUUCAAAAGCAAGUCUCAGAACAAUACAGACAAUAGGAUCCUUUUCAUUUAAAAACUAUAUUCAUAUGUGUGUAGAAAAAUGUAUGUAAGGAUAUACACUAAAUUGUUAACAAUGGUAUUUCUGGGAAUGGGGUUAUAGGCAAUGGGGUGGGGGAGACAGGCAGAGGAAUUUAAUAAUUUAUUUUUACUUUAUAACUUCUAAACUGUUGUAUAUCCUGUACCUAAUUAUAUACGUAUUUUGAGAAUGAGCAUUUAUUGCUUUAAUAAAACAACAAAUAGUCAACAAAAGCAGCCAGAGUUUUCAUUAAUUUCUUUUGGAGAAGACACACAUGUUGUAAAGAACAAGGUCAUUCCUAAUGUCUGGUUUGCUCCUUGGAGAAUUAUGGAUGCCCAGAGUGGUUCCUGGAUUUGUAUAGGUG